rnacentral:rRNA from 1 species
CCUACGGGAGGCAGCAGUAGGGAAUAUUGCUCAAUGGGGGAAACCCUGAAGCAGCCACGCCGCGUGGAGGAUGAAGGUUUUCGGAUUGUAAACUCCUUUUGUUAGAGAAGAUAAUGACGGUAUCUGACGACUAAGCACCGGCGACCGCCGUUCCAGCAGCCGCGGUAAUACGGAGUGUGCAAGCGUUACUCGGAAUCACUGGGCGUAAAGCGGGCGUUUGCGGGUUAGCAAGUCAGCUGUGAAAUCCUAGGGCUUAACCAUAGAACUGCAGUUGAAACUGUUAUUCUAGAGUAUGGGAGAGGUAGGCGGAAUUCGUGGUGUAGCGGUAAAAUCCGUAGAGAUCACGAGGAAUACUCAUUGCGAAGGCGACCUGCCAGAACAUAACUGACGCUGAUGCGCGAAAGCGUGGGGAGCAAACAGGAUUAGAUACCCCUGUAGUC